AUCUGUUCCACGCCGUUGUAAUCUGGCUUUGACGGGGCACUUGUAAUCUGGAAAGGAACCGAGCGCCACCUCUCCGAAUAAUGUCGCGCCAAGAACGCGUCUCUUCACGCCAAGGGGUGUACGUGUAAUGAGGCGAUUCGUGUCGAUUCGACCGCUGGAACCGGAAGACACGCGUGUGUAUGUCGUCGGAGGAAACAGGGACACAGGACGGCGGUUUGGUAUGAGCUGCCUGCCCUGACAGGUUGCUGGUCAGGUCCCCGCUAUUUCCAAUCAUACAUCUGAGGUUUGUGCGGACUCAAGUUCACCGGAGAGUCUGGGAUGCUCGAGUGGCGGGGGGGAGGGCAGAUAUUUCCACUCUUUGAGACCAAGCAAGGGCUCAGGGGAACCGCAUCUCCCGCCGGUAUCCAGCAAUGAUAUACCGCCCGGAUUCGUAGGAACGAAUCCGGGGGUUCUAGCAUAGAUUCGCAGUGUGUGGUCUGUUGCACGAUCCGAUAUUCAACGUACCUGUUUCUGCGGGAACACAGCGAUCAGCGUGUACGUAGCUGGGGCACUCAAAGGGCAGGUUAGCGUGCAACUAAGAUUCUACAGCGCAUCCGUCGGGAGUCAAGACAGUGAUUCGUGAUUGUGUGUUAGCCUACGAGACUACACACAGCGUUUUGCACGAAAAUAGGGAUUCCCUGAUGCAUUCGGUCGAAGAGGCGUCAGCCAGUUUUCCGGGCGCCUGACACCGAGCAGUCAGGACCAGCACAUACUGUGCUUAAUGCUACCAUAGCACCAGACGUCAAUUUGUCAGGGCAUCGGAUUUCGUCCGGUGGGGAGUCGACUAGGUUUACGGGGAUUCCUGCGGAACCGUUGUCCGCAUUUCUCUUCCCAGCGAAUGACGUCGCCAGUGCAAUCGGGUUCUCCGAGAGGAACGGUGUCAGUCCGAAGUGAAACAUUUUGUCAUGUGCCAUCGGGCGCUAAUGACUUCAGUUCAGGAAGCACGUUUCCGGUCCCAACGAAGAGACAUUGAUGUAGUCUCGAGGCUAGUUAGGUAAGCAGCCGCGGUGGAUCUCGUACAGGAAUGCACACAUGAUUGGCGAAAUAAAUGAUGUGCUGGGCCCUCGUCGGAACUGAGCUCUGGCAGGACACAGGAAGAAGCUGCCCAAACGUGUCGACGCUCGUCAGGCCAAAAUAAGGAAUCAUCGGUGACAGGUCAGCUUUUAGGGGCUUUUCAAGGAUGAAGGCACAGACCCCGUGCAUGGGUUGCCUGGUUAUUUUACAAUGACACCGCAGCAGGGCAGUGCCAGUCAACAGCAGAUCAUUACUCGGCAGCACCUCAAGAAGAAGUUUUGUGAGCACCUGAUAGGUCAAUCACUAGUCUGCUACAGGUUAUCCCACAUUCUAAGGCGUCACCUAUUGAGUCAGUCUGCUGAAAUGCCUUUUUCGGCAGUUCAGCCAAAAUUCUGCUUCAUCUGGCAUGUCCGCUGCCCUUUCUUACCAACUCUGCAAAUUGACGUGCUUUAGCCCAAUGCUGCUGCAAUAGUGAUGCAUGGCUGUCAGCAAAAGAGACCCUCCUGUCUUGCCAUCUCGCCUCACGAGUGUUUCCAUAAGCGAUCUUAACCCCGUGUGAUGGCGCAGGAAAUCUUCUUGUUUCGGUCGGUACAGAUACGAACUAGAACCUUUCGACUUUUUUACACCGAGGACACCAGACCAAAAGGUCUGGGAUGAACAGCGAGGGUACACUUUACAAUAACAAUGGAAGUCCCCAAAGCUUGACGGCAGUGUGCUGUCAUAAUUCUUGACUCGAAGCCAGCGCCUGGCACAACAGAGCCGCGCAUGCAGCUGCUCUUGUGUAUGCCCCUCAAAG
rnacentral:lncRNA from 1 species